UACGUAGGGUGCAAGCGUUAAUCGGAAUUACUGGGCGUAAAGCGUGCGCAGGCGGUGAUGUAAGACAGUUGUGAAAUCCCCGGGCUCAACCUGGGAACUGCAUCUGGGACUGCAUCGCUGGAGUGCGGCAGAGGGGGAUGGAAUUCCGCGUGUAGCAGUGAAAUGCGUAGAUAUGCGGAGGAACACCGAUGGCGAAGGCAAUCCCCUGGGCCUGCACUGACGCUCAUGCACGAAAGCGUGGGGAGCAAACAGG
rnacentral:rRNA from 1 species